UACGUAGGGGGCUAGCGUUGUCCGGAAUCAUUGGGCGUAAAGCGCGUGUAGGCGGUUCGGUAAGUCCGCUGUGAAAGUCGGGGGCUCAACCCUCGGAUGCCGGUGGAUACUGUCGGACUAGAGUACGGAAGAGGCGAGUGGAAUUCCUGGUGUAGCGGUGAAAUGCGCAGAUAUCAGGAGGAACACCGAUUGCGAAGGCAGCUCGCUGGGACGGUACUGACGCUGAGGCGCGAAAGCGUGGGGAGCGAACAGG
rnacentral:rRNA from 1 species